GUCAGCAUGGAGAUGACCCGUUCCAAACCGGCCCACCCCGCAGCCAGAACGCGCUGCAGGUGGGCUAAACAAGGGCCGACUGGGGCUUCUGCCCCUUAAUGGGAGGAAGCCCCGCCUUCGGAAGCUGCUGGCCAAUCUGGUUCCAAGUGUGCGUUAGUGGGCGCCACCAGGACUCCAAGAGGUGGAGGAAGCAGUCUCAUGGAUCCCCGGAAACAGGAAGGGAUUUCACUCCCAAUGUUCAAACUCAUGAUCACAGGUGCCAUUUCCUGUAGAUGCACACCUGGUACUCUGUAUGAGCUCAAACACAUUCUAAACAACUCCCAGGUACCACAACUGUUCCCACCCCCGUCUGAUCUUCUGGAGGUACCCCAACAACCAGCUCCUGAAGACCUGGGUAAUGACUCCAGUCCUGAAACCCCAAACUAAUAUCGAACGGCAGCACAAUGCUACCCAUCCAUCAACAAGAGCCAUCACUGGAGCAGACAAUCUGAAGAGGUUCCAUUGCCUGUACCACUCGGUUAGCACAGUCCAAUACUCACCUGACCAUUUCACCAGGAUCAAGAUGGUCUGCUGUAUUCUUCACAAUUUAGCUAACAGCAGAUUGACUUGAGGCUGAAUGUGUUUCUACUAACAUGUGGUGACCCACCAAGGAAUGAGUCCCCAAUGGCUGAAAGGUCUUCCAGCCUUCCAAGAAUUGUUCAAAUAGAUGUGACAACGUGUUUAUAUAAUUUGGCUUCAAUAAAAGCAAUGUUUUUACCCUUA